rnacentral:rRNA from 1 species
GAUCGCGAAGAUCUCGGUCCCGCGCUCGACGAGCGCUCGCCAGAAGCGUUCAUCAAACCUGACGUUGACGAUGUCCGAGGAAUUUGCGAAUCGUGAAAACUUUCAACAACGGAUCUCUUGGUUCUGGCAUCGAUGAAGAACGCAGCGAAAUGCGAUAAGUAAUGUGAAUUGCAGAAUUCAGUGAAUCAUCGAAUCUUUGAACGCACAUUGCGCCCUUCGGCACUCCGAAGGGCAUGCCUGUUCGAGCGUCAUUGCAAUCUCAAGCUUGGCUUGGUGCUGGGCCUCGCCCCCGCGGCGUGCCCGAAAUCCGAUGGCGGUCUGUCUGGACUUCGAGCGUAGCAAGAUUUCUGAUCCCGCGCUUGUGAAGCUCCGGACGUGCCCGGCCAGAACGUUCCCCUUUCUACGAUUGACCUCGGAUCAGGUAGGGAUACCCGCUGAACUUAAGCAUAUCAAUAAGCGGAGGAAAAGAAACCAACCGGGAUUGCCUCAGUAACGGCGAGUGAAGCGGCAACAGCUCAAAUUUGAAAUCUGGCCUCUUUCGGGGUCCGAGUUGUAAUUUGAAGAGGGUGUUUCGGGCGCGGCGCCGGCCUAAGUCCUUUGGAACAAGGCGUCAGAGAGGGUGAGAAUCCCGUACGCGGCCGGUGACCAAGCCCAUGUGAAACCCCUUCGAUGAGUCGAGUUGUUUGGGAAUGCAGCUCUAAAUGGGUGGUAUAUUUCAUCUAAAGCUAAAUACCGGCCAGAGACCGAUAGCGCACAAGUAGAGUGAUCGAAAGAUGAAAAGCACUUUGGAAAGAGAGUUAAACAGCACGUGAAAUUGUUGAAAGGGAAGCGCUUGCAACCAGACCUGUCGUGGGGUGAUCAGCCGUCGUUCUCGGCGGUG